AUGUCUUUCCGGAGCCUAAUUCAGGACAUGAAGGACGAGUUCGGCAAUAUCUCGCGCCACGGUCUGCGCUCCUCCCGCUCGCACCGCGCCGCCGCCGGGGCCGGGGCCCCGCGGGGGGCCUCCGUCGGGCUGGGGUUGGCAGACGCGCUGGAAGGGACCUGCUGGGCGCAGCUGCCUCCGGAGCUCCUGCGGGAGGUGCUGGUCAGGAUCGAGGACUCCCAGGGCUGCUGGCCCUCCCGCCGGGACGUGGUGGCAUGCGCCGGCGUCUGCCGGGCAUGGAGGGGCAUCAUGAAGGAGGUCGUGCGCGUCCCGGAGGCGUCCGCCAAGCUCACCUUCCCUAUCUCGCUCAAGCAGCCUGGCCCAAAGGAUGGCACUCUCAAAUGUUUCAUAAGAAGAAACCGGACUACUCAGACGUAUUAUCUGUAUAUUGGACUCACAGAAGCACUGGCUGAUGAUGGGAAGUUCUUGCUUGCUGCACGCAAAUGCAGAAAGCCUACAUACACUGACUACCUAAUUUAUCUUGAUAUGGGUGAUAUGUCAAAGGGAAGCAGCACCUAUAUUGGCAAGCUAAGGUCGAACUUUCUGGGAACAAAGUUUACCGUCUAUGAUGCUCAUCCACCGUAUGAUGGAGCUGUCGUCUCAAAAAGCCGGUCUGCUCGUGUGAUUGGUUUGAACCAGGUCUCCCCAAGAGUUCCUGCUGGCAAUUAUCCAGUUUCACACAUUUCUUAUGAGUUGAAUGUUUUGGGCUCCAGAGGUCCAAGAAGGAUGAACUGUGUUAUGAGUUCUAUCCCUGCAUCAGCAGUUGAAGAGGGAGGCAAAGCUCCAACACAAACUGAAUUUCCUCUUGGUAACCUCGACUCCUUCCCGUCGAUUCCAUUCUUCAGAUCAAAAUCCGCUCGGAUAGACAGUGCACUCACUCAGGCUCAGGACGAAGAGAAGCUGGUGCUGAAGAACAAGUCUCCUCGGUGGCAUGAGCAGCUGCAAUGUUGGUGCCUCAAUUUCCGUGGGCGGGUGACGGUUGCGUCAGUUAAGAACUUUCAGCUGGUGGCUUCAGAUGAGAAUGGAGCAGCUGGUCAGGAGCAUGACAAGGUGAUUCUGCAGUUUGGAAAGAUAGGCAAAGACUUGUUCACCAUGGACUACCGCUACCCGAUAUCAGCAUUUCAAUCAUUUGCAAUAUGUCUGAGCAGUUUUGAUACCAAAAUUGCUUGUGAAUGA
rnacentral:rRNA from 1 species